GGGACAUCCCACAUCCGCAUCACUGGAGGUGACUGAUCCCUCAACGCCCGAAGCAGAUCAUGGUCCCCCACGCUCUCCAUCAACACAAUGUAGCGACUCUUGACAAUCCGUGCAGUCUCUGUUAAGCCUCCCACAAACAUCUCAUUCGUCUUCAUCAUCUCCAGCAUGCACAUCCCCAACAGAAGGUAUCCCGUCAACCGCAGCAAGCCUGAGCAAUCCACCCUCGCAGACCGAGCCCAACAACGCACAAUCCUUGGCCCAAACAAGGCCUAGGCAUGCGAUGUCAAGCCCAAUCCCGGUGGAACGAUUUUGGUCACAAAAUAAAAAACAUAUCCAAAUCAAAUCUUGUUCUAUUGGAAGAAUUGAUAUGAAUGUGCAAUCCUAGCACCACUAUACAUUGAUUAAUACCGCCCAAUAUAUAUGAAUACAUGGGUUAUGAAAACCUCGCACCUAUUGAUAAGUUAAAGUAGUGCAUAGCCAAUAUCUUAUAUUCAAUGUUAAAUACAUAAAUUAAGAUACAAUAACUACUGAUACCUUGUUUUCCAAUAUAUAACAAGAAAGACUUGUCUCAA